rnacentral:rRNA from 1 species
AACGAACGCUGGCGGCAGGCUUAACACAUGCAAGUCGAACGCAUCCUUCGGGGUGAGUGGCAGACGGGUGAGUAACGCGUGGGAACGUGCCCUUCAGUUCGGGAUAACCCAGGGAAACUUGGGCUAAUACCGGAUACGUGCGAGAGCAGAAAGAUUUAUAGCUGAAGGAUCGGCCCGCGUCUGAUUAGCUAGUUGGUGGGGUAAUGGCCCACCAAGGCGACGAUCAGUAGCUGGGCUGGGAGGAUGAGCAGCCACAUUGGGACUGAGACACGGCCCAAACUCCUACGGGAGGCAGCAGUGGGGAAUAUUGGACAAUGGGCGCAAGCCUGAUCCAGCCAUGCCGCGUGAGUGAUGAAGGCCUUAGGGUUGUAAAGCUCUUUCGUCCGGGACGAUAAUGACGGUACCGGAAGAAGAAGCCCCGGCUAACUUCGUGCCAGCCGCCGCAGUAA